rnacentral:rRNA from 1 species
CCAGCAGCCGCGGUAAUUCCAGCUCCAAUAGCGUAUACUAAAGUUGUUGCGGUUAAAAAGCUCGUAGUUGGAUCUUGGAAUGUGUUCAAGCGGGUCAGCUUCUGGCUGUGCGCUGCUUGACGUGUUCUUCUAUUUGGUUUUGGUGCGGUGCGCUUAACUGCGUGUCGCUCCCGGCCGAAACGUUUACCUUGAAAAAAUUAGAGUGUUCAAAGCAGACCUGUUUGAGUCUGAAUAUUCGUGCAUGGAAUAAUGAAAUAUGAAUUCGGUUCUAUUUUGUUGGUUUUCGGAACUCGAGUUAAUGAUCAAGAGGGACAGACGGGGGCAUUCGUACUCUGCCGUUAGAGGUGAAAUUCUUGGAUCGGCGGAAGACGCGCAACUGCGAAAGCAUUUGCCAAGAAUGUUUUCUUUAAUCAAGAACGAUAGUCGGAGGUUCGAAGACGAUCAGAUACCGUCCUAGUUUCGACUGUAAACUAUGCCAGCUAACGAUCAGACAGAGUUCUCUACGACUUGUCUGGCAGUUUCCGGGAAACCAAAGCGUUUGGGUUCCGGGGGAAGUAUGGUUGCAAAGCUGAAACUUAAAGGAAUUGACGGAAGGGCACCACCAGGAGUGGAGCCUGCGGCUUAAUUUGACUCAACACGGGGAAACUCACCCGGCCCGGACACAGUGAGGAUUGACAGAUUGAGAGUUCUUUCUUGACUCUGUGGGUGGUGGUGCAUGGCCGUUCUUAGUUGGUGGAGCGAUUUGUCUGGUUAAUUCCGAUAACGAACGAGACUCUGGCAUGUUAAAUAGUCGCGGAAGUGCGUAUGCACUUGCCGAAUUGACUUCUUAGAGGGACUAGUGAUUUUAAUUCACACGAGAUUGAGCAAUAACAGGUCUGUGAUGC